GGGUGGGGGGUGGGGGUGUUGUAAGGGAUCAACACAUUUCUCAUCACUACAGUCACUGCUGAGCAGUGGGUCAUCUGGUCUGGUUCAUGGGGAAGAAAUAAGGCAGCCGGAUGGUCAUAGGUCUGUUCUGGCAGAGGGACAAGGAUUCGGGGCUUAUUUCCCUCUGGCCUGUGCCAUCUGUGGAUACGAGCUCCCCAUAAGUGAGCUUCAGGAGGCCAGUCCCCAGGCGGGUGGGAGAAGCCCAAGGAGGCUGUCUAACCUCUGAGAAGGGCCACAGGGAUCACCUGGAUGUGUGAGCCCUACCAGGCAGGCACAGCAGUCCUCGGGGAGACUGGGAGACUGGAAGAAGGCUGGGCUCUUGACUCUAGGUUCUUUGGGCCCAUGGGAAUUUCUGUGUAGAUUUACUCCAUUCAUUAUUCAGUCAGUUUACCGAUGCCAACCCCAGGCUGGGCGCUGGGGACACACUUGUCCUCAAGGAGAUACUGUCCCAGGAGGGAGGUGAGCUCAGACUGGGUAGUGGUCAGGGCCUCCGGAUGAAGCCAGGUCAACCUCUCUGGAAGUUCAGAAGGGGAAGAAGUCAUCCAACCUGGGGGCAUCAGGGAAGGCUUCCUGUGGAAGGUGAUAUUUAGGCUGAGCCUUGAAAACAUGACUGUGAAGAGAUAGGAUGGGAUAAAAAGGGCAUUCGGUGUCUAAGGAACAGCAAAGGCCUGGUCAUGGGAACUCAGCUUGGGAGGUGUUGGUCAGAGGCAGGCAGAGGGGUCUGGACUCACUGUAGCUAUCCCCUGAGCCAGGGAGCCACCUCUGUCCCUCACAUGCAUGUGCACAUGUAGGGGUCACGUUUCAGCUUGCUGGAGACAAGAGGAGAGCUCCUGCCCUGGCUCUCCUGAUUAAUCUAUAAUUAAAUCAGCACAGACGCCACAGAACUGUGCUGUCAUUAGAGAGUUCGUAAGGGCAAACAGUGAUUUCUCCACUAACCAAGAGCCCUGCCAGGGGGCUGCAGCUCUGGUCAUGCACAGACAGCCAUCAGGGGCAAGAUGCAAGCACAGGAGGCCAGAGCUUCAGGCAGGAAUAAGAAAACCGGCAGCUCACACUUUGGCCAUUUAUACAGUGUUCCCAUCACUACCUUGGUUAAGCCUGACAAUGACACGAUGGCCAUGGGUGGGGCUUGGGGGGGACUAUUAUUUAUUUGCUCCCAUUUUACAGAUACAGAAACUGAGGUGCAGAAAGCAUAAGGGUAAAACAGCCCGGUUGGUUUCAGAAUUGCCAGAGGUGCCUCUUGCCAGCCGUGUGGUCUCAAGCAGAUUGCUUACCCUCUCUGUCCCUCAGUUUUUUUGUCUGUGUAAUGAGGCCAAAACACUGUCACUUCAAAAUGUUGGUUGUAAGGACUGAAUGAAGCAAUCCAUGCAAAGAAUUUAGCAGCAUUUGAUGCUUAUCAAAUGCUACUACUUAUGAUCAUGCUUUGUUAUAAUUGCUUGUUUCUUGUCCACCUUUCCCAAGAGAAUGCAGGCUCCAUGAGGAUAGGGACUAUGUCCAUCUUGUUCAUUGCUGUGACUCCAGCAAUUGUCACUUGGUAGUGUUCAGAUUCAAGGGACAAGUACAGAUCUGCCUUGACUCACGAUGGAGUUAAUGUCCUGAUAAGUGGAAAAUACAGUAAGUCGAAAAUUUAAUACACCUAACCUACCAAACAUCUGAGCUCAGCCCAGCCUAUCUUCAGUGUGCUCAUAACACUUACAUUAGCCUGCCCUGGGCAAAGUCAUCUCCCACGAGUCAUGUUUUAUAAUAAAGUACUGAAUAUCUCACUUUAGGAGUUGACUGAAUACUGUACUGGAGGGGACAAACAGAAUGGCUGUUUGGGUGCAGAGUGGUUGCCAAGUGUAUCAGCUGUUUACUCCCGUACCCUGGGAGCCCUGCUCGCUGCCGCUGCCCCAGCACCACGGGAAAGCAUCCUCCUGUGCGUGCCUAGCCCGGGGAAAAGAUCAAAAUGCAAAUUGGGAAGUGUGGUUUCUACUGAAUGUGUGUCGUUUUCACACCAUUGUAAAGUCAAAAACUCUAAGUCAAACCGUGGGAAGUUGGGGGCCACCUAUACCAUCGUCAUUAUUAUUGUUGCUGCUGUUGCUGUUGUCUUUGUUAUGAUCACUGUUGUGUCCCAAGUCUGCUAUUCAGAGCUGGUCCUUCCUGAAAUGGGUUCAGGAAAAGUCUAGAAAUAAGCAGGAAGCCUCAAUUCACCUGCUAAGAGGUAAGGAGCAGACUGGAGGUGACUGGCUUCUGAAGGGAUGUCUGGGCAGAGGUGCAGAAAACUUUGGGGGCCCUGGAAGAGUCCCUUCCUCUUGUCAUCUAGGGUCUUCGGACCUGCAGAGAGGUCAGAGGGGCUGGAGUCUGCAGCCCACUGGACACAGAAGGGAUCAGAGGGAAUCUGCCUGUGGCGGUUCAGAGGAUCGUUACUGUCUCUGUGCUGCAGUUUCCAACCUCUCCGCUGGGAUCUGAGGUUUGUCACACAAAUAACUUAAAGUCCUAGAUUCUCCAAAUGAUUUACUUUAAAUAUGAUCAAUUUGAGUGGAUUCGGAGUUAUCCCUGUAAUGGUGUCACCCGCACUCACUUGCAUUCUUGAGUGGCAGGUAAAGGGACAGACUUAACCCAGAACUCCUAGAACUAAGAGCCUCUCACCUGCACCUCCAGCCGUGAGUGACUGCUGUAUAUAAAGUCACUCCCCUGUGACACAAAUGCUCACGUGAAUACUGUGCUGUGUUCCCAGAGGUGUCUGUUCAUGGCCUCUCUGUUCUCUGCUGAGGGAGCACACUCAACCAAAAGUUCUGUGGGGGGGGGGGCUUAAUACCCCAGGAGCCACCCUUGACCAAGGGGAUGAGGGGGUGUGGAGAAAGACUUUGUCGCCCCUCAGUGCGACGAUCGCCCACAGCAAUAACUUGAGUAUCAGCACCCAUCUUGGCUUCCCUCCCUUUCCUGACUCAUUCCCUGCAUCCCAACUAAACUACUGCACCCUGAUCCUCAUCCAGGAUUUGCAUUUGGGGCACCUAGCCUAACACACCCUCCAGAAUUGUGCAGCUUUUCUGACCUACAAAAAUUGUUGAGAGGUGUCUAAGGCCUGCAUACAGCCUUGGGAGUGCAUCUACCGUGUGGGCUGUGAUGACCAAAAUACAGCGGGCUGAGGCUCUAGGUAGGGAAGUGCUGGUCAGCAGACGGUUCUGGUAAGUAAAGGCUGAUGGUAGAUGGAAAGCAGGUGGCAGAGAGCUCUGUCUUGUGGCAGCUUCACCUCAACCCUCGUCAGGAACCCGAUGCAAAUCCCGAACUGAGGACUCUGCCGAACCAAGGGGGCACUUAUUUGUUUUAGUAGUCACUGACUAAGCACCUACUGUAUGCUGAGGAGGCAAACGGAUAAAGAAAGGUGAAUAAGAGUGGGUGUCCUUGCCCUUGCCCUAAGGGGGUCAGUGUCUAUUGGGAAAGAGAAAUGUGUCAACGUGUGGGUAGAGGUUAGAGAUGAGCCGAGAAAUUCAUCCAUUCAUUUAGGAUAUAUUUAUUGAGCACUUUGGGUAUACAAGCCUCUGUGUUAGGCCUGGUGGAUGAAAGAGAGCCACACUCCCCUCAGAAAUGAGGAAAGGCAACUGGCAUUUAUUGGGCUCCUGCUGUGUGCCAGGCACUGAGUAGGGCGCUCCCGUAGUUCAGCUCAUCUCCUCUCAUAACAAACCCGGGAGGUGGCAGCUGUUCUUAUCCCCACUACACAGACAAUGCCCAGAAAGGUGAUGUAAUUUACCGGACCACACGGCUGGCAAGUGGCAGAGCUGGGGUUCAGCCUAGGUCUGUCAGAUUCCCGGACCCCAAUACUAUUUUUUCCCCUUAAAUCAGACCAAGGUCUGUGGUUUUUGUCUUAAAUACCCACUGAGUGAACCAGUUUUUAAAAGAACAAAACCUGGAAGCAAACCAGGCCAGGCUCAGAUGGAGCCAGAACAAGCUUUUGCUGGGGUCAAGCUCCUGCGCCGAGGCCCUGCCUCAUCAGCAGGGGCCCCAGCCUGGUCUUGACCCCUGUCUGCAGGGAAUCCGGGACACCUGGAAGCUGACCUCAUUCCACCCUGAAGAGUUGGGGGAGGAGAGCUUGGUAGAGGCCUGCUCCCUGUGCCCACAGGCCUCGGAGGCAGCUGACACAGGAUUCAGCUGCAGCCUGGGGCUCAGGCGCCGCCCCACCCCCACCCCCACCCCUCACCUUCCCUAGGAAUGUCAAGGCAGGGCCUGGCUGGUGCAGGGAGGGGGAGGAUGUUCAGGUUACUAUUACUGCAAAACGAACCACCCCAGAACUUAGUGGCACAAACUAACCCUUUUAUUUUGCUCACAGUCUGUAGGUCAAGAAUAUAGACAGGGCACAGUGGGUAUGCCAGCUUUGUGAUGUCUAGGGUCUUCUCUGGAAAGACUCCGUAACUAGAGGUGACCCAACAGCCGGCGGCUGGAAUCAUCUGGAGUGUCUUCACUCACAUGUCUGGGAGUUGAUGCUGGCUAUCAGCUGGGACCUCAGUGGGGCUCUCAGCCAGAACAACUACACGUGGCUUUUCUGUGCCCUCUCUCCCUGCACUAGAUUGCGCUUCCUCACAGCAUGGUGGCUGGGUUCUGAAAGCAAGCAUCUCAGGAGGGCCAGGUGGAUGUUGUGUCACCCUUUAUGACCUACCCUUGGAAAUUAGCCUUGCCUCACUUCUGCAAUAGUCCCAAGCCCACCCAGGUUCAAGGGGAAGGAACACAGACCUCACCUCUCGAUGGGACAGCGUGGGGAAUUGCAGACCCUGUUGUGGCCAUCUUUGCCACAUAAUCUGCUCUAUGUAUAAUCUGCUCCUGAAAGGAGUAGAUGGGUUUGGCUGUCUAAACUAGUAGACCAUUGGGUGAGAGGCUGUGCUAAGUGGAGGCAAAGGCAGCAUUGAGAAUGCAGGAUGGGGGGUCGUAGUCUGAGGGGGUCAGAGAACAAAGAGCUUAGAUUGAGGUUGACCUUUGAGGUCCAGGCACCAAGGCUGGAGAUAACAAGGCAGGGCUCAAUCUGGCACAAAAGAACAGGUAUUAUUUUAUUUGUUUGUCUACUACCCCUCCAUCAGUCCAGCCACCUUACACAUCCAUCCAUCCAUCCACCUCUGUAUCUCAUUCACUUUCACUAUGACUCAAUUCCUCACCUGUAAAAUUGGGGUGAUAGUAUAAACUUCAUAGGGUUGUUUGAAGAUUCAGUGGAUUAAUAAACAUAAAGUGUCUAGGGGAGUGCCCAGCACAUAUUAAGUGCACAAUAAAUAUCACCUGUUAUGAUUAGCAUUAGUGCUAUUUAUUGUUAUUGUUAUUCAGCCAUGCACUCACAAAUUGAUCCCCCUACCCCCUCUUUCAUCUGUCUGUCCUUUCAUUUAUUCAGCUGUGUAGGUGAAUUAUGUGCACAUUUAUCUUACAUGAAUUCAACCAUAUUCUGAGCAAGAUAGAGGGAGAGGAAACUAAUUUUAAAAGCACAAUUGACUCUACCUGCCAUUCCAGGCAGUGGGUGUGUGUCCCUCAGGGAGUAUGAGCUGAGCCAUGUGACUUUCCAAAUCAUUCUAUAGGAACAUGUUACUAAAUAGGUUGGUGGAUGCAAAACCACAAAUGCUGCAUAUCAGGGACAAUUUAUUGGAUCUCAUGGGGCAAUUGUUUUUUGAGGGAGAGAAUGAGAGCGGGGGGCUGGGGGGUAUAGGGGCAGCGAGAGGGAGACGUUGAAUCCCAAUCAGGCUCUGUGCUGUCAGCACAGAGCCAGACUCUGAGUUCGAACUCACGAAUCAUAGGUCAGGUUUAACUAUGCAUGUUUCACCUUUCAUGCUCACUUUCCUACCUUCUGCAUGGGAUGGGAUCCACCUCACUAUGAGGCCCUGGCAGAUUCCUGGUGACACAGAUAUGAUCACUCUGGCUCCUACAUGAAGAAUAGACAGGAAAGGAAGAGUCUCGAAGCACGGAGACUAGUGGGAAGGCUGAGUGCCACUCAGCUUCCAGUGAUUUCUAGAAGGUGUGGCUGCCAAGGAAAAGGCUUUAUAGAAAAUAGCCCUGGAGAGAGUGAACACCUUUCCCCACCAGAUGUGGAAACUGAGGCCCCGUGAGGUUGGGUGACUUUCCCAGUCACAGCCAGUGUGUAACAGAGCCAAGAUCUGAACCCACGCCUGCUCACUCUGGAGCCCACACUCCUUCCACACUGUGAAGGAAUACAUGAACACUCAAAAAAUUUGGAAAACACAGGAAAGAAGGAAGAGGGAAAAGUCCUACAUAGCUCCCCCUCCCCAACCUUGGGAUAUAUUUCAUUAACAGCCUGGGAAUCUCCUACUUCUUUUGGCUGAGCCUGUGGGUACAAGUGAGUGACUGACCUGGCUGAGGUCACACAGAUCAGCACAGUCAGGAUUUGAAUUCAGACUGUUGGAGGCCAGAAUUUGAGGUGUACUCAAUGUGGCUCAGGCCUCAGGGAGCCAUUUCCAGUCUUAUGGGAGAAAUGGAAGCAAACAGGUGUGGCUUAGUUUGGCCUCCCCCAGAAGCAGACCUCGAGAUAGUGAGGAGCACAGGGGCUUUCGUUGGGAGGUGAUCCCAGUAAGUAGGAGGCAGAUCAGGUGGAGAGUGAGACGGGGCAGGAGGGAAUGUCAAUAAAAUGUGCAUUAGUGAGCGGCUACUGGAACUCAUCCUGCUGGGUGGAGAGGACACCUCAGAACCCUUUCCCUGAAGGAGGCUGGGCAUUCACCUAUUGGUUCCCGACCACCAUGACCGAAGGUUGCUCCUGGGGGCAUUCACUCUUCUGCCUUUCCAAGUUGUCCUGUGCUUGGGCAGAGCAAACUCUUGUGGCUUCAGAAAACGCCAUCAUCAGGCAGAAAAGUGGAGGGACCGGUGUCUGGGAGCUGACCGGUGUCCAUGGCUGAAGCUGGAGUCCCAGGUGGACACCAACAACAGUUGCUAUGAGGUGUUUGAGACAUAGAGUGUUUUGGUCAUCAUAAAGCACUUGGAGAGUCUAGAGUUAACAAUACUGUAUUGCAUACUUGAAAUUUGCGAAGAGGGUAAACCUUCAGUGUUCUCACUACAAGAAAAAAAGGGAACUAUGUGGGGGUGAUGGACAUGUUAAUAAACUUGAUUGUGGUGAUCAUUCCACAACGUAUACAUAUAUCAAAGCACCAGGAUGUACCCUGUACAUAUAUAUAAUUUUUGUUUGUCGAUUAUACCUUAAUAAAGCUGACGGA